rnacentral:misc_RNA from 1 species
GAUGAAGAACGCAGCGAAAUGCGAUAAGUAAUGUGAAUUGCAGAAUUCAGUGAAUCAUCGAAUCUUUGAACGCACAUUGCGCCCGCCAGUAUUCUGGCGGGCAUGCCUGUUCGAGCGUCAUUUCAACCAUCAAGCCCCGGGCUUGUGUUGGGGUCCUGCGGCUGCCGCAGGCCCUGAAAAGCAGUGGCGGGCUCGCUGUCACACCGAGCGUAGUAGCAUACAUCUCGCUCUGGGCGUGCUGCGGGUUCCGGCCGUUAAACCACCUUUUAACCCAAGGUUGACCUCGGAUCAGGUAGGAAGACCCGCUGAACUUAAGCAUAUCAAUAAGCGGAGGA